rnacentral:rRNA from 1 species
UUUAUGGAGAGUUUGAUCCUGGCUCAGGAUGAACGCUGGCGGCGUGCCUAAUACAUGCAAGUCGAGCGAACUGACGAGGAGCUUGCUCCUUUGACGUUAGCGGCGGACGGGUGAGUAACACGUGGGUAACCUACCUAUAAGACUGGAAUAACUCCGGGAAACCGGGGCUAAUGCCGGAUAACAUGUUGAACCGCAUGGUUCAACAGUGAAAGACGGUCUUGCUGUCACUUAUAGAUGGACCCGCGCCGUAUUAGCUAGUUGGUAAGGUAACGGCUUACCAAGGCGACGAUACGUAGCCGACCUGAGAGGGUGAUCGGCCACACUGGAACUGAGACACGGUCCAGACUCCUACGGGAGGCAGCAGUAGGGAAUCUUCCGCAAUGGGCGAAAGCCUGACGGAGCAACGCCGCGUGAGUGAUGAAGGUCUUCGGAUCGUAAAGCUCUGUUGUUAGGGAAGAACAUAUGUGUAAGUAACUGUGCACAUCUUGACGGUACCUAACCAGAAAGCCACGGCUAACUACGUGCCAGCAGCCGCGGUAAUACGUAGGUGGCAAGCGUUAUCCGGAAUUAUUGGGCGUAAAGCGCGCGUAGGCGGUUUUUUAAGUCUGAUGUGAAAGCCCACGGCUCAACCGUGGAGGGUCAUUGGAAACUGGAAAACUUGAGUGCAGAAGAGGAAAGUGGAAUUCCAUGUGUAGCGGUGAAAUGCGCA